rnacentral:rRNA from 1 species
UCUUCGGUCUGGUGGCGAGUGGCGAACGGGNGANUAAUGNANCGGAACGUGCCCAGUAGCGGGGGAUAACUACGCGAAAGCGUAGCUAAUACCGCAUACGCCCUACGGGGGAAAGCAGGGGAUCGCAAGACCUUGCACUAUUGGAGCGGCCGAUAUCGGAUUAGCUAGUUGGUGGGGUAACGGCUCACCAAGGCGACGAUCCGUAGCUGGUUUGAGAGGACGACCAGCCACACUGGGACUGAGACACGGCCCAGACUCCUACGGGAGGCAGCAGUGGGGAAUUUUGGACAAUGGGGGAAACCCUGAUCCAGCCAUCCCGCGUGUGCGAUGAAGGCCUUCGGGUUGUAAAGCACUUUUGGCAGGAAAGAAACGUCAUGGGUUAAUACCCCGUGAAACUGACGGUACCUGCAGAAUAAGCACCGGCUAACUACGCGCCAGCAGCCGCGGUAAUACGUAGGGUGCAAGCGUUAAUCGGAAUUACUGGGCGUAAAGCGUGCGCAGGCGGUUCGGANAGAAAGAUGUGAAAUCCCACAGCUUAACUUUGGAACUGCAUUUUUAACUACCGGGCUAGAGUGUGUCAGANGGAGGUGGAAUUCCGCGUGUANCAGUGAAAUGCGUANAUAUGCGGAGGAACACCGAUGGCGAAAGCAGCCCUCCUGGGAUAACACUGACGCUCAUGCACGAAAGCGUGGGGGAGCAAACAGGAUUAGAUACCCUGNUAGUCCACNCCCUAACGAUGUCACUAGCUGUUGGGCCUUCGG